rnacentral:rRNA from 1 species
GACAGAGGCCUCGAGCGUUAGGCGGAAUCACUGGGCUUAAAGCGUGUGUAGGCGGGCCCGUAAGUGUCUUGUGAAAUCCCACGGCUCAACCGUGGAACUGCUGGGCAUACUGCGGGUCUUGGGCCAACUAGGGGCAGCCGGAACAAGCGGUGGAGCGGUGAAAUGCGUAGAUAUCGCUUGGAACGCCGAAGGUGAAAACAGGUUGCUGGGAGUGUGCUGACGCUGAGACACGAAAGCCAGGGGAGCGAACGGG